GAUGAACGCUGGCGGCGUGCUUAACACAUGCAAGUCGAACGAUGAUGCCCAGCUUGCUGGGUGGAUUAGUGGCGAACGGGUGAGUAACACGUGAGUAACCUGCCCUUGACUCUGGGAUAAGCCUGGGAAACUGGGUCUAAUACCGGAUACGACCAUCUGGCGCAUGUCAUGGUGGUGGAAAGCUUUUGUGGUUUUGGAUGGACUCGCGGCCUAUCAGCUUGUUGGUGGGGUAAUGGCCUACCAAGGCGACGACGGGUAGCCGGCCUGAGAGGGUGACCGGCCACACUGGGACUGAGACACGGCCCAGACUCCUACGGGAGGCAGCAGUGGGGAAUAUUGCGCAAUGGGCGCAAGCCUGAUGCAGCGACGCCGCGUGAGGGAUGACGGCCUUCGGGUUGUAAACCUCUUUCAGUAGGGAAGAAGCGAAAGUGACGGUACCUGCAGAAGAAGCGCCGGCUAACUACGUG
rnacentral:rRNA from 1 species